GAAGAAGAAGAAAGAAGAAGAAGAAGAGGAGGAGGAAGGAAGGAAGGGGGCUGGCUAAUCUCUAUUGUUGCUGGCUGCUACCUGACGCUGCUGCUGCUAGAGGUUACUGCUGCUCAGUUGUGCAUGCUGCCUGCUACUGCAUGCAGCCCUUGUUUGCUGCUACUGAUGAUGCUGCCAUAAUCCUGUAGCUACUACUGUUUAUUGCAUGCUGCUACCCUUAUUGUUUUGCUACAUGUAAGAUAAGGAGCUACUGUCCAAGAGUUCAGAUGUUGAUGUGGCUGCCUAAACCCAUGAACCUGAAACUUUUUUGGUGAGGACACACGAUUGAUUGUGGGGGAUCCUAUCGUAUUUUGUGAUUUGGGUUUCGAGGAUUUUGGGUGCAGGACAGUAUUAUGAAUAAUGGGUUUUGGAUCCCUAUAGCCAUUAUUCGCUCUUCCCCACUUUACCACUGAAGUGAGAGAACUAAGGAGGUCUAAAGGGUUGUAGAAGAUCCACUACCAAGAAGAGGGAAAAAGUGAAGAAUGACAUCGAUCAUCUACAACAUAUAAGGGUGAAAGGUACAAUUCCAUCCUCUAUGAUCUUAUCAAAUUAUUCACGUUUUUAAUUUAUAUCGUAUUCUAGUUGUCUGUAUGGGAAGCAAUUAGGAUCCGAUGUGAAACCCUAAAUUGAGAUCUAACAGUGUAUGCCACAGUCAUACUUGAAAAUGGGUGCACAAUGUGGUCGAUUAUUAUUCCGAUUCGUGUAUAUCUUACUAAGCCGUAUACAUGCUAGAUAGGUUUGGACAUGGAUGCGACGUGGCCGAUGGUGAUUUUGAUAUUGUAUUUUAUACUACUUGUAUCACUAUGAAAAUCAUAUAUAAUAUUAUGGUUGGGUUUAUAUUACCUAUGCUAUGAUCCCUUGCCAACAAGGGGUGAGAUGUUGGAUAACCCACCAUGGUAUGUUUGAUGAACCCUUCCAGAAUGUCACUUCCAAAUAUGAUGUGAUUGUUGUUGGAGGCGAAAAUCAGUCCAUUGUGGUCAAUGAUAAUUAUGGUGUCGUGACUGCCAGGAGGAGCUUGUCAGAGGUUUACUUGUGCGUAUGCUGCACCUUGAGUCAGGGGUGAAGCUGUUGAUUACCCCGAUGUCGUAUUUUUAGAUUAUAUCUUGUAGAAUUUAUGAUUUGAUGAAUUAUGUGAAGGAUAAAUCAUGUUAUGUAAUAUUCUUAGCAUUAAUUUCUUCCCCAACAGAUUUAAAUUGAUUCAACUUAUGUAUAUGCUCUAAUUUUCUCUACAUUGAUUUUGGUUGGUUCAA